GACGAACGCUGGCGGCGUGCUUAACACAUGCAAGUCGAACGGAAAGGCCCUGCUUUUGUGGGGUGCUCGAGUGGCGAACGGAUGAGUAACACGUGAGUAACCUGCCCUUGACUUUGGGAUAACUUCAGGAAACUGGGGCUAAUACCGGAUAGGAGCUCCUGCUGCAUGGUGGGGGUUGGAAAGUUUCGGCGGUUGGGGAUGGACUCGCGGCUUAUCAGCUUGUUGGUGGGGUAGUGGCUUACCAAGGCUUUGGCGGGUAGCCGGCCUGAGAGGGUGACCGGCCACAUUGGGACUGAGAUACGGCCCAGACUCCUACGGGAGGCAGCAGUGGGGAAUAUUGCACAAUGGGCGGAAGCCUGAUGCAGCAACGCCGCGUGCGGGAUGACGGCCUUCGGGUUGUAAACCGCUUUCGCCUGUGACGAAGCGUGAGUGACGGUAAUGGGUAAAGCAGCACCGGCUAACUACGUGCCAGCAGCCGCGGUGAUACGUAGGGUGCGAGCGUUGUCCGGAUUUAUUGGGCGUAAAGGGCUCGUAGGUGGUUGAUCGCGUCGGAAGUGUAAUCUUGGGGCUUAACCCUGAGCGUGCUUUCGAUACGGGUUGACUUGAGGAAGGUAGGGGAGAAUGGAAUUCCUGGUGGAGCGGUGGAAUGCGCAGAUAUCAGGAGGAACACCAGUGGCGAAGGCGGUUCUCUGGGCCCUUCCUGACGCUGAGGAGCGAAAGCGUGGGGAGCGAACAGGCUUAGAUACCCUGGUAGUCCACGCUGUAAACGGUGGGUACUAGGUGUGGGGUCCAUUCCACGGGUUCCGUGCCGUAGCUAACGCUUUAAGUACCCCGCCUGGGGAGUACGGCCGCAAGGCUAAAACUCAAAGGAAUUGACGGGGCCCCGCACAAGCGGCGGAGCAUGCGGAUUAAUUCGAUGCAACGCGUAGAACCUUACCUGGGUUUGACAUGGAUCGGGAGUGCUCAGAGAUGGGUGUGCCUCUUUUGGGGUCGGUUCACAGGUGGUGCAUGGCUGUCGUCAGCUCGUGUCGUGAGAUGUUGGGUUAAGUCCCGCAACGAGCGCAACCCUUGUUCACUGUUGCCAGCACGUUAUGGUGGGGACUCAGUGGAGACCGCCGGGGUCAACUCGGAGGAAGGUGGGGAUGACGUCAAGUCAUCAUGCCCCUUAUGUCCAGGGCUUCACGCAUGCUACAAUGGCUGGUACAGAGAGUGGCGAGCCUGUGAGGGUGAGCGAAUCUCGGAAAGCCGGUCUCAGUUCGGAUUGGGGUCUGCAACUCGACCUCAUGAAGUCGGAGUCGCUAGUAAUCGCAGCUCAGCAACGCUGCGGUGAAUACGUUCCCGGGGCU
rnacentral:rRNA from 1 species